ensembl:lncRNA
CUUAAAGGUACAUUCUUCUACAUAGUAUUUUAUUACCUAGAAGAGGUGCUUCUCAGCUCACCACACAUUAAACGGAGCAAGUGGUCUGCUUCACAUGGCAGGAAACAAGGCCAUGAGCCACCAGGAGCAAGGAUGAUUUGACUUUUUUAUUUAGUAUAUAGGUUUAUUUUGGAACCAUGCACAUGCUUUACAUAGUUUAACAAAUGAAAGAGAAGUAAGACUUUGACCUCAUAGAAAUCGCUUGGGAAAGAGCUUAAAGAAAGGUCACCUUGCACUGCUCUUGGGAAGGAAAAAAAAUGUCAGGACCUUCAACAAACAAGAGUAGUGAGAAGGAGGAACAGAUGCCAAAAAAGGGAACUGAAGCAACACCGCCGAAGCAUCCACUCUUGUUGCAAUUUAGCUUUGGGCCAACCUGAGCAGCAAAGUUGUGUGAACAGUGCAGUAACUUGCUGGAGUGCGUGGGGAAGCUUUGAUCGGCCAUCUAGUUGGGGAGACGCACAUGCAGACACCAGCUCAUCCAGAAAUGGAUUCAUUCUAGGAAUAUCACCUCUUAAAGAUAUUGUUUGCCGCUAUGUGAGCAGAUUCUCAGAGGGCUCUAACUGGGAUUGUGAAGCUGAGAUAUUCCAGAGGUGUCAUUCUCACUAGAAUCCAACAGUGGCCACCUAUUUCCACUUGGAGAUGAGUGUGAAGUGUGCUGUGACUUCAGGGACAUCAGGUCCUUGGUCCCAGGAGGUAAGCAGUUAGUGAUUUUCUCCCAAGAAGCAUAGACUGUUUCAAGAAACACAGCAUUUAUAAAAUAUGUGCUUGCCUUUGUCCUGACAAGUCCUUGUUUAAGUUAUCGUUUACAGAAAGACAUUAAAUCCCGGUUAUAAUCUUAUAUGUUUACAUGAAUCUGUAGCAUUAUCAUAAAAUCAUUUAUACAUUUCAUAACUGGAGAAAAUUUAGAAAAUUAAGAAAAUUUAGAAAAUUUAAGCCAGAUUAAAUAAUUCACUAAAAGAUCAUCUGGGUGAAAUCUAAUACAUUCUACUACUUGAAAAUAUGUAUAAUAAAAUUCCAUCCCACGCAAAUUGUUUGCUACA